ensembl:lncRNA
GCCUAAAUUAAACCUACUCUUGGAUAUUUUGGGCUAUUUGUUUUGUGGUAAAAAUAAAUAAAUAAAUAAAUAAAUCUUUGUAGAAAUGGCAUUAGGGUAUAUAUAGAGUAAAAUAAGACUGAUAGUGCUCACAGAUCUUGUAGAUGGAGUAUGUGAAGUAAUUAAUUUAUAAUGAGCGUGCUCUUCAAUAGCUAUAGGAGUCGCCCUUGAACUCUGCUGGUACUGCUUGAAAUCUCUCCCUAUGGAAGACCACAACAUACCUCAGGUACAGUGAGAAACUCAUGUUUGUCCUUAAUAUGUGUCUAUAUCAAAUAAAAGGGCAUGCUUUAAUAGAUUUAUGAUCUGGUUUGUCUGCCUGUUUAGAACUAGAUAGACUCUGGGGUUGGAUUUCAUUGAUCUGGCAUGCAUUCAGUAUCUUGUUGCAACCAUUUCAGCUAGUUGUAAAUUAUGUAGCCGAGUUAGCUUUGAAAAAUAUAACGUGUCAUUCCCGCAUGUGUCCACUAGAUGGAGGAGUUCAGUAAAUGUUUUGUUUUCAGUUGCAGGCGGACAGUGAGGAUCUAACACUGCCCCCAAGUGGUGAGCGUUUGCACUACCAGCGAGACCCCAGACCUCAUUUUGGAGUUGCCCACUCCUCUCGCUCUGUGGCUUUCCCAUUGUGGGACAGCGAUAGGCCGAGAGAGAUGAAGAGGGGAGAGAAGGAGGAGGAAGAGGCCGUGGAAUCUGUCAGCUGUUGUCCUCAUUGCCAUCUUGGGCUGCCCAGUGAUACACUAAGCUGGCAUGAGGCAAAGUGUAUGUUAUUUGAUGGACAGAGAAACAAUUUGUCUUAAUAAAACUGUCUCCUGUCGCUCCUGUCUAUUAAUGGCUACCUAAAAUAAGCUAUGAAACUGUUGAUAAUUUUGUUUAGUCCUAUUUUACCUGUUUAUAAGUUUUAAUAUAUUUGUUCAGUAAUAUAUUGUAAACAAUUUAGGAGCUGGACUGUCAGAAAUAAUACAACUGCCUUUCAAUUAUACAGUAUUACUGUUCUUUGAGGUCAAGAACAGCACUCAACUGCUUCACUGUUUCUAAGCGAAAUCCAAUUCUUUAUUUUAGCAUUACAUUACAUGCUUUGUCAUUUGUCACAGUGAGGAAAUUGAACCUUUCAAGAGUCAUGGAUUUCUUGUCUUUACUAUUCACUGCGGUGCUUAUUUUAUUCAUACUAUUAUAUGCUUGAAAUGAUGCUAAUGCAUUAUGUGCAAUUUUGUCAAAUAGUAUUUACUAAGGAUGAAUCAGGAAUGUCAAAAAUGUAUUGAAUUGCCCAAAGUUUGCUAG